rnacentral:rRNA from 1 species
CAGCGCCACAAGUGGCAAUCACGUUUAUUGGGCCUAAAGCGUCCGUAGCCGGUUUAGCAAAUCUUUUGUGAAAUCGUCAGGCUUAACUUGACGAAUUGCAGAAGACACUACUAAACUAGGGACUGGGAGGAGUCAGAAGUAUUCUGGGGGGACCGGUAAAAUGGUAUAAUCCCCAGAGGACUACUGAUGGCGAAGGCAUCUGACCAGAACAGAUCCGACGGUGAGGGACGAAAGCCAGGGGAGCAAACCGGAUUAGAGACCCGAGUAGUCC